rnacentral:tRNA from 1 species
GGAGAGAUGGCAGAGCGGUUGAUUGCAGCUGUCUUGAAAACAGCCGAAGGUGAUGAGCCUUCCGGGGGUUCGAAUCCCUCUCUCUCCGCCA